UCGAGCGAGUCUGCCUUGAAGAUCGGAGUGCUUGCACUCUGUGAAACAAGAUACAGGCUAGCGGCGGACGGGUGAGUAACACGUGGGUAACCUGCCCAAGAGAUCGGGAUAACACCUGGAAACAGAUGCUAAUACCGGAUAACAACAGAUGAUGCCUAUCAACUGUUUAAAAGAUGGUUCUGCUAUCACUCUUGGAUGGACCUGCGGUGCAUUAGCUAGUUGGUAGGGUAACGGCCUACCAAGGCGAUGAUGCAUAGCCGAGUUGAGAGACUGAUCGGCCACAUUGGGACUGAGACACGGCCCAAACUCCUACGGGAGGCAGCAGUAGGGAAUCUUCCACAAUGGACGCAAGUCUGAUGGAGCAACGCCGCGUGAGUGAAGAAGGGUUUCGGCUCGUAAAGCUCUGUUGUUGGUGAAGAAGGACAGGGGUAGUAACUGACCUUUGUUUGACGGUAAUCAAUUAGAAAGUCACGGCUAACUACGUGCCAGCAGCCGCGGUAAUACGUAGGUGGCAAGCGUUGUCCGGAUUUAUUGGGCGUAAAGCGAGUGCAGGCGGCUCGAUAAGUCUGAUGUGAAAGCCUUCGGCUCAACCGGAGAAUUGCAUCAGAAACUGUCGAGCUUGAGUACAGAAGAGGAGAGUGGAACUCCAUGUGUAGCGGUGAAAUGCGUAGAUAUAUGGAAGAACACCGGUGGCGAAGGCGGCUCUCUGGUCUGUUACUGACGCUGAGGCUCGAAAGCAUGGGUAGCGAACAGGAUUAGAUACCCUGGUAGUCCAUGCCGUAAACGAUGAGUGCUAAGUGUUGGGAGGUUUCCGCCUCUCAGUGCUGCAGCUAACGCAUUAAGCACUCCGCCUGGGGAGUACGACCGCAAGGUUGA
rnacentral:rRNA from 1 species